AGAGUUUGANCCUGGCUCAGGACGAACGCUGGCGGCGUGCUUAAUACAUGCAAGUCGAGCGAGGUUACUGUUUUGGAUCNNUUCGGGGUGAAGAAGCUUUAACCUAGCGGCGGACGGGUGAGUAACGCGUGGGUAACCUACCCCAAAGUCCGGGGUAACAGCGGGAAACCGCUGCUAAUACCGGAUGCCUUUACCUUGGGGCAUCUUGAGGUAAAGAAAGGCAACGCUUUGGGAUGGGCCCGCGUCCCAUUAGCUAGUUGGUGAGGUAACGGCUCACCAAGGCGACGAUGGGUAGCCGGCCUGAGAGGGUGGACGGCCACACUGGGACUGAGACACGGCCCAGACUCCUACGGGAGGCAGCAGUAGGGAAUAUUGCGCAAUGGACGGAAGUCUGACGCAGCGACGCCGCGUGAGCGAUGAAGGUCUUCGGAUCGUAAAGCUCUGUCCUUGGGGAAGAAGGUCUUCGGACUUGACGGUACCCAAGAAGAAAGCCCCGGCUAACUACGUGCCAGCAGCCGCGGUAAUACGUAGGGGGCGAGCGUUGUCCGGAAUUACUGGGCGUAAAGGGUGCGUAGGCGGCCCUUUAAGUCGGAUGUGAAAGCCCGCGGCUUAACCGCGGAAUGGCAUUCGAAACUGGAGGGCUUGAGUGUCGGAGAGGGUAGUGGAAUUCCCAGUGUAGCGGUGAAAUGCGUAGAUAUUGGGAGGAACACCAGUGGCGAAGGCGACUACCUGGACGAUAACUGACGCUGAGGCACGAAAGCUAGGGGAGCAAACAGGAUUAGAUACCCUGGUAGUCCUAGCCGUAAACGAUGGGUACUAGGUGUGGGUGGUUUCGAUACCAUCCGUGCCGUAGUUAACGCAUUAAGUACCCCGCCUGGGGAGUACGUGCGCAAGCAUGAAACUCAAAGGAAUUGACGG
rnacentral:rRNA from 1 species